UUACUUUCAUAAGUUAUUUUCAUGACCUUAAGCUCCAAAUCUCUAAACCAUAUGUAAACACCUAUUAAACUCCAAAUCGAACACAUUCAACUUUCUAGUCUCAACAACCUUGUCACAUUGGAUAAAUCGGAAAGCAUAUGCAAUUUUGUUAAUUAUUGAAUGAUAUGCAAGACGAAACAAGAUUUAGGGUGGACUAGAUACACACCUAGAUUAAUCUAUCUUUUAUUGUUAUGUUAUGUUAUGGAACAAUGUUGUUAUUUCUUUUUGAAUCUUGUAUGACAUUUAGUAUUGCAAUGAAAUUUGAAUUUAAAUUAAAUAUUGUC
rnacentral:lncRNA from 1 species